GGGCGCUUGGCUCAGUGGCUAGAGCACUUGCUUCACACGCAAGGGGUCGGUGGUUCGAGUCCACCAGCGCCCACCA
rnacentral:tRNA from 6 species